UAGGGAAUCUUCGGCAAUGGACGGAAGUCUGACCGAGCAACGCCGCGUGAGUGAAGAAGGUUUUCGGAUCGUAAAGCUCUGUUGUUAGAGAAGAACGAUGGUAGGAGUGGAAAAUCUACCAAGUGACUGUAACUAACCAGAAAGGGACGGCUAACUACGUGCCAGCAGCCGCGGUAAUACGUAGGUCCCGAGCGUUGUCCGGAGUUAUUGGGCGUAAAGCGAGCGCAGGCGGUUCUUUAAGUCUGAAGUUAAAGGCAGUGGCUUAACCAUUGUACGCUUUGGAAACUGGAGGACUUGAGUGCAGAAGGGGAGAGUGGAAGUCAAUGUGUAGCUGUGAAAUGCGUAGAUAUAUGGAGGAACACCGGUGGCGAAAGCGGCUCUCUGGUCUGUAACUGACGCUGAGGCUCGAAAGCGUGGGGAGCAAACAGG
rnacentral:rRNA from 1 species